UCCCUGGUGGCUCAGAAGGUUAAGGAUCUGGCAUUGUCACUGCUUUGGUGCGGGUUCGAUCCCUGUCCUGGGAA
rnacentral:tRNA from 1 species